rnacentral:rRNA from 1 species
AGUGAACGCUGGCGGUAGGCCUAACACAUGCAAGUCGAACGGCAGCACAGUAAGAGCUUGCUCUUACGGGUGGCGAGUGGCGGACGGGUGAGGAAUACAUCGGAAUCUACUUUUUCGUGGGGGAUAACGUAGGGAAACUUACGCUAAUACCGCAUACGACCUACGGGUGAAAGCAGGGGAUCUUCGGACCUUGCGCGAUUGAAUGAGCCGAUGUCGGAUUAGCUAGUUGGCGGGGUAAAGGCCCACCAAGGCGACGAUCUGUAGCUGGUCUGAGAGGAUGAUCAGCCACUCUGGAACUGAGACACGGUCCAGACUCCUACGGGAGGCAGCAGUGGGGAAUAUUGGACAAUGGGCGCAAGCCUGAUCCAGCCAUACCGCGUGGGUGAAGAAGGCCUUCGGGUUGUAAAGCCCUUUUGUUGGGAAAGAAAAGCAGCAGGUUAAUACCCCGCUGUUCUGACGGUACCCAAAGAAUAAGCACCGGCUAACUUCGUG